CUACGGGGUGCUGCAGUGGGGAAUAUUGGACAAUGGGGGAAACCCUGAUCCAGCAAUGCCGCGUGUGUGAAGAAGGCCUGCGGGUUGUAAAGCACUUUCGGUUGGGAGGACUGCUUCUAGCACUAAUAUUGUUGGAAGUUGACGUUACCUUCAGAAGAAGCACCGGCUAACUCCGUGCCAGCAGCCGCGGUAAUACGGAGGGUGCAAGCGUUAAUCGGCAAUUACUGGGCGUAAAGCGCGCGUAGGCGGCUAGAUCAGUCGGGUGUGAAAGCCCCGGGCUUAACCUGGGAAUGCAUCCGAUACGGUGGAGGGGGAGGACAGGAGAGGAGAGUGGAAUUCCACAUGGAGCGGUGAAAUGCGUAGUUAUGUGGGGGAACACGUAUGGCGAGGGCAGCGCGCUGGCGUUAUACUUACGCGGAGGUGCGAAACCGUGGGGAGCAAACAGGACUAGAUAACCGCGUAGGC
rnacentral:rRNA from 1 species